UACGUAGGGUGCAAGCGUUGUCCGGAAUUAUUGGGCGUAAAGAGCUCGUAGGCGGUUUGUCGCGUCUGCUGUGAAAACGCGAGGCUCAACCUCGCGCCUGCAGUGGGUACGGGCAGACUAGAGUGUGGUAGGGGGAGAUUGGAAUUCCUGGUGUAGCGGUGGAAUGCGCAGAUAUCAGGAGGAACACCGGUGGCAAGGCGGGACUCUGG
rnacentral:rRNA from 1 species